UAGGGAAUAUUGCGCAAUGGACGAAAGUCUGACGCAGCCAUGCCGCGUGAGUGAGGAAGGCCUUCGGGUUGUAAAGCUCUGUCGCCUGGGAAAAACGGCUAUCUGGGGAAAGUUCAGGUAGCGUGAUGGUACCAGGAGAGGAAGCACCGGCAAACUCUGUGCCAGCAGCCGCGGUAAUACAGAGGGUGCAAGCGUUGUUCGGAAUUACUGGGCGUAAAGCGUGCGUAGUCGGUAUUGAGAGUCGCGGGUGAAAUCCCAGGGCUUAACCCUGGAACUGCCUGCGAGACCUCAGUACUAGAGUGUGAGAGGGGAUAGUGGAAUACCCAGUGUAGCGGUGAAAUGCGUAGAGAUUGGGUGGAACACCGGUGGCGAAGGCGGCUAUCUGGCUCACAACUGACGAUCAGGCACGAAAGCGUGGGGAGCAAAC
rnacentral:rRNA from 1 species